GGAGUGGCAAAGUUAACCGAUAGGUCUUAUAUUGGAAAUGCUGUGAAAGCAGCUAUGGCGCUAAACCUGCUGUGAAAUAAGUGUAGUGGACCCGGGGGCAGUGCCCGGCGCCUCCACCAAUUUAGCUCACUCGGACCGAACAGUCCAAGGGCUUUGCGGGGGCGAAACAGGCUCGACACGCACGGUAAAGACAGUAGCUGUUCCCGGCAUUGUACCACCGUUAUCGGGCUAAUUCUAAAAGUGCCAACGACAACGUUGAGUACGCCGCUGCUGCCUAGUAGGCAGUAAGCGCGGUUCGGGGGGCACCGGGCAACAGAAGCCCCCCACU
rnacentral:tmRNA from 1 species